rnacentral:rRNA from 1 species
ACGGAAGGCAGCAGUGGGGAAUAUUGCACAAUGGGCGCAAGCCUGAUGCAGCGAUGCCGCGUGAGGGAAGAAGGUUUUCGGAUUGUAAACCUCUGUCAACAGGGACGAAAAUGACGGUACCUGUGAAGGAAGCUCCGGCUAACUACGUGCCAGCAGCCGCGGUAAUACGUAGGGAGCGAGCGUUGUCCGGAAUUACUGGGUGUAAAGGGUGCGUAGGCGGGGAUGCAAGUCAGAUGUGAAAUGUAUGGGCUCAACCCAUGAACUGCAUUUGAAACUGCAACUCUUGAGUGAGGUAGAGGUAAGCGGAAUUCCUAGUGUAGCGGUGAAAUGCGUAGAUAUUAGGAGGAACAUCGGUGGCGAAGGCGGCUUACUGGGCCUUUACUGACGCUGAGGCACGAAAGCGUGGGGAGCAAACAGGAUUAGAUACCCUGGUA